CUUUUUGAGGAGCCUGGGUGUCCCUCCUCUGCUAUCCUUUCCCAAGAGCCAGGAUAAGAAGCAGUCACGAGCAUAGUGGCAGAGAAGGAAAAAGGGCUGUGGAGGCAGUACACCUGCAGGGAGUGAUUUCUACCUGUCUCCCGAGAGGGGUGCUCAGUUUUUGGGGCUCAGUGGGAGAACAGCUUUGAGUUUAGCUUCAGACCAAGCCAAGUUUGGUUUUGCAGACACCUUUCACACCUACCGCCUUUUCUGGUAUGCUAGAAGAGAAGUGUGAGUUGGAUGUGGCCCCUUGGUACCAGCAGCCAUACAAACAGCCCCACAGCUGUGGGACUGCCUGCUCUCUUCUCUGCGCCAGCAGUAGGUAUCUCCUGGGCUACCAACACUCUUCCUGCCACAACCUUCCCUCUGGCCUGCCUUGAAAUCAGUGACCCUGCAGCCCUUCCAGCUUUACUUUAAUAUUCAUCUCCCACGGGGCAGUUGCUGAGUGACGAGCACAGUAGGCAGAGGAGGACCAAGCCUCCGUGACUGUGCAGGUGAUGGACUUUGAGCCUUCAGAGCUGGGUGCUUGAGGAGCUGCAUUCAGAUAUAAGCACCUCCAAGACUAUGUCUGUCCUGUUCCUUGAGAGGUCUCUUUUCCUUUGCCUAAGGAGAGCAAGGCUGGUGCUGUCUCAGCCCCAACACGAAGGUCCCCGUCUAGGGAUCAGGGACACUCAGUACCUAGCAGUCCCUGGGCACAACAUGCUUGGUCCAGUGAUGCUGCUAUGGCUGACAACUCACCUGGCUGCUCUCCCCAGAAGCAGAGAGGGAGCCUGUCACUGUCACAGCCCCAGCAGUGUAUCUAAGGCAGUGUUUAGCUGCAUGGAGAGGGUCACCUGCUGGGUUGUGUUUCAGCAUCGUGCUACGUUUUGGUCUCUUUUUCCCUUUCUCUGCACCACACUCCUGGUACAAAGGAUUUGACACCAGGUGAUUAUCUGAAACUGGAGACACAAGGUGCUGGUGCAGCUCUGGUUACACAUAUUAUGCCGAAGCCUUCAUUCUUACUAUCAUGAGCAUGUCGCCCCACAGUUUUUCUUUGUUUGUUUGUUUGUUUACAUAAUUAAUGCAGUGAAAUGAAAACACUGUCCAUAUAAUUGUGAGGACGUCAGAUGUUCAAACAUAAUAUACUCCAUUCUAAGGUGACAGAUAUGUGAGGUAGUCUUCGUUUUUAAGUAUUCACGUCUUGAAAAUAAUAUAAUUACACUCAUCUAUUUAGGGUUUCUGUGAUUAUUGGCCAUCACCUCUUCCUGGACCUGAGGCUUCCCUGAGGUCAAAGUAGAAAUAUUCAGCAACAGCCUGAACCACACAGAUGUUGCAUAUCUACUUGACAGUGUUUACUAUUUCCAGGAUUGUUUUAAAUAAGUAAUGCUUUCAAACAGAGCGGGUCGCCUCCAUAAAGAUGGCCUCGUAUAGCAAGAGAAGGAAAGAAGCAGAGAAGAAAGGAAGAGCGAUUAAAUCAGGAUGGUGACCCUGUCUGAGGGAAGCUGAUGAAGCCCUACAGGAGGGAGAUCUGAGUCAUGAGAGCCUUCUCAUGGAAAUUUACUUCCUGGCCUCCUUUCUGCUGCACACUGAGAACAGAAGAUGAACUAGGACGUGGUAGAGGGAAGCUGCAAUGGUCCCAGAGAGAAGCAGAGGAUUGCUGGCUUAGAAGAAAGCUUGCUUCCCAGGUUUGAGUGUUAGCUGAACCACACAGAGGACUGGCUGUGACCAGACAAAAUGGCCUUGCUGAAUUAAGCCAGACAGAAGAAACAAACCCCCUAAAAAAUCAUGUCCCAACAGGUAAAAGGGUAAGAGCUUGGGAGCAUUGGUAAGGAAACAAGAGCUCCAGGAUAACGUAAUCAGGAACAUCCUUCAACCAAUUACAGCACAUGCACUUUAUCUGCAGAUCUUACCCUUGGUGUUAUUCAGCUCAUAUGCUCUCAAUUCACUACAAAAGAGCAAAAAAUGAGCCAUCGGGAUGAUCUGAGAACCCACUCUUUCUGUCCUCAACCCUGGCUGACAGCACAGCUAAUGAUUUAUUUUCAUUUCUAUGUAUUUUAUGUCAAUCUGAUAGAUGUUCCCAGCAAUGUCAGUGGCAAAACAUCAGACAGUAGCAGAGUGCUGAGGGUCCCCUCUCAGCAGCAGCCCUAGGGUGGUUGCUGCUGGAAGGGAGGUGCCGAGAACCUGGCCAGAUAUUCAAGCUUUCAUUUGUUUCGCUGCCCCACUUAAUCCUCACAGCGUCCGAAGCCAGAAACGCUUCACUUAGAUUAAUGAGCCAAACUAAAACAAACCCGCAGGCUUCAAGCACGUGAGCUCCUGUUUAACACUGUGAGACCCGCUACUAACAGCAGCUUGGCUGCAGUACAGCUCACUAAGAAAGCUCUUUUUUUCCCCUUUUGGGCUUUUCUCCAGAGAUGAGGGGCUGGUGAGAGGAUCUGAGGACUGAACCCAUUGGGGUUUGUGCUGCUGCUGCCAACUAAAUCCCCAGUCCCAGCUGAGGUGGGCUGCUAGAUCAUAGAAUCAUAGAAUCAUUAAGGUUGGAAGGACUACUAAGUUCAUCUAGUCCAACCAUCAGCCCAUUCCUGUGACUGCUCUAGCGUGCGUCCCUCACUGCCACAUCUGCCCUGUUCUGGAACACCUCCAGGGAUGGUAACUCCACCACCUCACUGGGCAGCCUAUUCUGAUAUCUCAACACUCUUUGUGAGAAGAAAUCUUUUCCUAAUGUCCAACCUGAACCUUCCCUGGUGCAACUUAAGGCCAUUAGAUGCCUACCGUGCAGUCACUCUGAGCAGCUGCUGGAGGAACUCUGGGCAAAAAGUCAUCAAUUCAGACUUAACACUAAGCAAAAAUAUCUCAUUGGUCUCAUGUUGGAGUAGCUCCCACUUUUUUUCUCAUGUUGGUAAAAGAACUUCACUGCUUUAUGUUUAUGGUGUAUGAAGAGGUCCAAAUCUCUCCUUCCUUUGUUUCUCAGAGAUCCUGCCCAGAUAUUUUAGGAAAUCCCAGACAAAUUAAGCAAAAAGCUGAGCUGCAAAUGAAAGAAAAAGGGAUGUGAGCAAAGGCAGCAAGUAAACAACAAAAAAAAAACAACAACCCAACACAGUUUUUUAAAGGAGGCUAAAAAAAAUUCAUGUCAAGGAAGAAAGGGGGAAAAGGGAAGGAAGGAAAGGAGCUUCCCUCCUGCCAAGUGCACACAGCAACCUCCACUCUCUCAGAAGCAUUAUUUCUAGCCAAAGCCAAAUGAAAGGCUCCUGGCUGAACUGAAAUGAAAACAUCCAUUUUUGAGAUUGGCUCUGCACAUUGCCAGCACAGAGCUGAUGAGAGGCUACCAGCAGCUCCGGGCAAGCGAGGAAGGUGGGAAGCAGGAAGGGAAGCUUGAAAAGUUUGAAAAUAACUAUCAGCUAAUUUUGACUACAAAAAGGAUCAUCCUAGUUUAGAAUGAUUGCUGCGAUGCUGUAGAAGGCAUUUUUCCUGUUAUUCCUAUUUGAAAGUGCAGAUAAAGGGAGUGCAACUCCUUCCCUCUGCAAAUAAGUCACUACGCAUGGCAAAGUACUGCCAGGCACUCUAUUGCCGAAAUGCAUUGCUGAAAGCUGGGCAGCUGCCUCCAAGCAAGCGGAGAGCAGCUGCUGUCACCUCGGGUGUCUCUUCCACAAUUGCAAUGGGAAUCCCUAUGGGCAAUCUCCAUGGGCAAUCUCCAAGUUUUGGAUCCAGGAAUGGGAAUCCCCAGGCCUCUUAGGAAGACCAAGUAGUAGAAAUUCCUCCUAAAUCCCAUGUGCUUUCUCUUCCCUGGGAAUUCUCUGCUCGUAGGCGUCCCCCACAGCACGAGGGAGCUCCACGAGGCUCCCUCCAGCUUGCGCAGUGAAGGAAGCUGGAUGGAAUUUCCCCUGUCAUGCUGACACCCAGGCACCACGCUGUGUGCUACAACUUGGCACGUGUGACUCGUCCUCUCUUUACAG
ensembl:lncRNA